ensembl:lncRNA novel transcript
GGGCCCCACGAUAUUCAUCCACAGCACCCACUCUGCGCCAGUGCCCUGCUGGACCUGUGGAUACUAUGGUUAAUGAAGGUCUCAUGUCCCCCAUCAAAUGACAGUUGAGAAAGGGAUCGCCAAGCAGAAACUCUCAGUGAUGUGUCUGUGUCCCCAGGCUUACAGGGUCCCUUGUAAAUCAGCUGCCCCAUGAAGAUGGAACAUGAAAUUUUGUGGGGAUGCCAGACCUCCCACCUUCCUACAGAGGGAGCUCUUUUCAGGGCUGAGCGACAGGGUGCACUCAUUGACUCAGAGACACUGGCAGGGGUCAUAGAGGUUAUCCGUAUCUAUAAGUCAGACCAGUGUCCAAGGAAGUUCUGCCGACUGGAACUGAACCAUAGCAAAUGCAUCUCCAUUUCCAUGAUUCAGUAGCUUUGAGUGACAAAGUAACUAAUCUCCAGCCCUGGUUAUUGAGAAACUCCUGAAUUGUUUGCACUGAGCUGCCGGUUUCAUCCAGAAUUCCUGGCAAAGGUGUUAGAACGGCUCCAUGAUUGGUCAGUGAAAUCAUCACCAUCUUCCCAGAACUCAGAAUCACCAGUGAUUUUUAGUAUAAAUACGGCAGAGCUGGAAACCUGGAAAAUAGAACAAAAUGAAUGGAUUGGUUAUCCUACCGCUGAAGCAAUCAAAACAGCACAACUUGGGAAGAGAAAAUUUAGGGUUCACAAUUGUUUUUAGUUCUGUAAUUAAGCCAAUCAUUCGAACACAAAUAUGUUAUUUAAAAAUAAAAA